UAAUGCCUUUUGCCUUCAAUCUUACUGUCACCUCUGGUGAUGGCGUGGAUUCACUCCUCCGCUCACUCGGUAUCUGUGGGAGACGUGCUAGGGACCAGGCAGCGCGCCUUAGGCGCUGGGACGCGGCGAGGGACACGGUCACCCUCCUCCUUGCGGUGGCAGAGCUUACGGUCUGGUGAGAAGGAGAAUGAACCGGGAUGUGGCCAGAAAAAUGCUGGCUUCCGGGCCAGGGGGCGUCCCUGGAGCACCUACUAACCCUCUGUAAAAUGGAAAAGGAAGAUGCCAUGAUGUGGUGUGAGGCGUGGGAAUGGCUAAGUGCUCCUCACUAGUUCACUCCAGAUUCCUGAUGGGCCUUUGUGUUCUCAUUGCCUGAGAGUCGCCCAGUGAGCGUGCCUGGAGGACGCCAUCCCUUGGGGACAGAGGCAGGGCUUCAAUUACUGUGAGGACGGAGUCUCAAAGAACACGUAAAACAACACAAUACACAACAUUUCCUUCAUAUUUUCUAUUGUCUGGAAACAGCUCUAAAUUUCCCCUUAUACUGCUUGCCUUCUUCAGAAUACCAGAGAUGACAGAGCAGUUGUUGUAAUAAACAAUUCUGAUAUGUCA